rnacentral:rRNA from 1 species
CCUACGGGGGGCAGCAGUGGGGGAUAUUGCACAAUGGGGGGAACCCUGAUGCAGCGACGCCGCGUGGGUGAAGAAGCGCCUCGGCGCGUAAAGCCCUGUCAGCAGGGAAGAAAAUGACGGUAACUGAAGAAGAAGCCCCGGCUAACUACGUGCCAGCAGCCGCGGUAAUACGCAGGGGGCAAGCGUUAUCCGGAUUUACUGGGUGUAAAGGGGGCGCAGACGGCGAUGCAAGCCGGGGGUGAAAGCGCGGGGCCCAACCCCGGGAAGGCUCUUGGAACUGCGUGGCUGGAGUGCAGGAGGGGCAGGCGGAAUUCCGGGUGUAGCGGUGAAAUGCGUAGAUAUCAGGAGGAACGCCGGUGGCGAAGGCGGCCUGCUGGACUGCAACUGACGUUGAGGCCCGAAAGCGUGGGGAGCAAACAGGAUUAGAUACCCUUUC